UCCCGGGUAGCUCAGUGGUAGAGCAAUCGGCUGUUAACCGAUUAGUCGGGGGUUCGAAUCCCUCCCCGGGAGCCA
rnacentral:tRNA from 1 species